rnacentral:rRNA from 1 species
AUGCAGCAGCAGGUUAUUGUCGCGUUCCAUGACACACCGAUCGGUGGCCAUUCUAGAUUUCCAGUCACUUGGCGUCGGGUGCGUCGACUGUUUGCCUGGCCCAAGAUGAAGACUCACAUACAACACUAUGUCAAGUGCUGUCCAACCUGUCAACAGGCGAAACUAGAUCGUGCCGCUUAUCCAGGGCUGCUCGAACCUUUGCCAGUACCUAAGGAAUCCUGGGAAAUGAUUAGUAUGGAUUUUGUCGAUGGACUGCCAUCCUCUGGAGGAGUGAAUUGCAUCUUGGUCAUUGUCGGCAAACUUACAAAAUUUGCCCACUUCCUUCCGUUGGCUCACCCAUAUACAACUUUAAAAGUCGCCCUCCUCUACAUGAAUCAAGUAUACAGGCUACAUGGGUUUCCCGGCUCAAUCAUCUCGGACCGUGACCCGGUGUUUACCAGCCACUUCUGGCAGGAGCUAUUCAAGUAUGCUGGCACUGGCCUUCGAAUGAGUUCAGCCAAUCAUCCGCAGACUGAUGGGCAAACCGAGCGUGUUAACCAAUGCCUGGAAACAUUUCUUCGGUGCUUCACCCAGGCCUGCCCCCGUCGCUGGAGUUUCUGGAUUCCUCUUGCCCAAUUCUGGUACAAUUCUUCUUAUCACUCUUCCAUUGGCAUGUAUCCUUUCCGAGCGAUGUACGGGCAUGAACCACGGCAACGAGCGCUUGUUCAGUGCCAUCGCUGCGCUCUUGGCUGGAUGAACGAGCAGUGGUGCAAGACCUGCUACAGCAGCAUCUGA